UACGGGGGGGGCAAGCGUUGUUCGGAAUUACUGGGCGUAAAGGGCGCGUAGGCGGCUCAUCAAGUCGGGCGUGAAAUCUCCGGGCUUAACCUGGAAAAGUCGUUCGAUACUGUUGGGCUAGAGUGUGGAAGAGGCUACUGGAAUUCCGUGUGUAGCGGUGGAAUGCGUAGAGAUCCGGAAGAACACCGGUGGCGAAGGCGGCCCGCUGGGCUGUGGCUGACGCUGAGGCGCGACAGCGUGGGGAGCAAACAGG
rnacentral:rRNA from 1 species